rnacentral:rRNA from 1 species
AUACGUAGGGGGCGAGCGUUGUCCGGAAUGAUUGGGCGUAAAGGGCGCGUAGGCGGCCCGGUAAGUCUGGAGUGAAAGUCCUGUUUUUAAGAUGGGAAUUGCUUUGGAUACUGUCGGGCUUGAGUGCAGGAGAGGUAAGUGGGAUUCCCAGUGUAGCGGUGAAAUGCGUAGAGAUUGGGAGGAACACCAGUGGCGAAGGCGACUUACUGGACUGUAACUGACGCUAAGGCGCGAAAGUGUGGGGAGCAAACAGGAUUAGAUACCCUGGUAGUCCACACUGUAAACGAUGAAUGCUAGGUGUAGGGGGUAUCGACCCCUUCUGUGCCGCAGUCAACACAAUAAGCAUUCCGCCUGGGGAGUACGGCCGCAAGGUUGAAACUCAAAGGAAUUGACGGGG